rnacentral:rRNA from 1 species
GAUCCGAGCGUUAUCCGGAUUUAUUGGGUUUAAAGGGAGCGUAGGCGGGGGCUUAAGUCAGUUGUGAAAGUUUGCGGCUCAACCGUAAAAUUGCAGUUGAUACUGGGUUCCUUGAGUGCGGCAGAGGCAGGCGGAAUUCGUGGUGUAGCGGUGAAAUGCUUAGAUAUCACGAAGAACUCCGAUUGCGAAGGCAGCUUACCGUAGCAUUACUGACGCUGAUGCUCGAAGGUGCGGGUAUC